rnacentral:rRNA from 1 species
CCGGACGGCGACCGGCGCACGGGUGAGUAACACGUAUGCGACCUGCCCGUAGCAGGGGGAUAAGCGGAAGAAAUUCCGUCUAAUACCGCGUAAUAUCUUUCGGGGGCAUUCCUGAGGGAUUAAAGGAAGCGAUUCCGGCUACGGAUGGGCAUGCGGCGCAUUAGCUAGUCGGCGGGGUAACGGUCCACCGAGGCGACGAUGCGUAGGGGUUCUGAGAGGAAGGUCCCCCACACUGGUACUGAGACACGGACCAGACUCCUACGGGAGGCAGCAG